rnacentral:rRNA from 1 species
CACGUAGGGUCCGAGCGUUGUCCGGAAUUACUGGGCGUAAAGCGCGCGUAGGCGGCUUUGUAAGUUAGAGGUGAAAGCCCGGAGCUUAACUCCGGAACUGCCUUCGAUACUGGCGAUCUUGAGUCCGGAAGAGGUGAGUGGAACUCCUAGUGUAGAGGUGGAAUUCGUAGAUAUUAGGAAGAACACCAGUGGCGAAGGCGGCUCACUGGUCCGGUACUGACGCUGAGGUGCGAAAGCGUGGGGAGCAAACAGG